AACCAACCAGGCGCCCCACUGUGUUCCCAUUGUCCCCGUGCUGCCAAGGUACUUCCUUCAACUCCCAGGUCACUAUGGGCUGCUUGGUCUCUGAUUACUUCCCUCAACCAGCCACCGUCCAAUGGAAUUCAGGCGCUAUCACCUCCGGCAUCCGGGAUUUCCCCGCAGUACUACAAACAUCCAGUGGCCGCUACAUAUCCAGUAGCCAACUCACCGUCCCGGUCUCCAGCUGGAAAUCUGGGAGCUUCCAAUGCCACGUUUCACACGCAGCCACCAGCUCCGAAGUCACCAAAAGGAUUGAAGUCUGCUCUGCCAAGCCUCAGCCAGAGGAACCGGAAGUCACCACCCCAGUGGUACCGGAAGUCCGCCUCCUCCAUUCGUCCUGCAACCGCAGAACUGACGAGGCCACCAUCCAGCUCGUGUGCUUUAUCACGAGCUUCUACCCUAAAGAAAUCACAGUGGAUUGGCUGGUGGGUGGCAAAACUGGAGUGCCCGCUGCCAACACCGAGACCCCCAGGAAAGAUGCGAAGGGGCACACCUUCAGCACUACCAGCACAGUCAACAUUACUCAAGUAGCUUGGAAAGAAGGGAAGGCUUACACCUGCCAGGUGACCCAUCGGGGUGUCGUGGUGAAAAGACAUGCCUCACAUUGCCCAGGUGAGAGUGGCGACUGUGCAACCACCGGCGUUAAGAUCUCCAUCGUACCCCCAACUCCGGCUGACCUAUAUAUGAACGGAGAGCCCAAGCUCAUCUGCUUGGUAUCUGGUCUUGAUAGUGCAGAAGGGGUAAAAAUAACCUGGUCCUGGGAGCAAACAGGACCCCUGAACCCCGACCCGCAACAAGUCAGGGAGGAGCCAGAUGACACCGUCACGGUUGAGAGCGCCCUCACCAUCUCCAAGGCAAAAUGGCUGGCCGGGAACGUCUUCACUUGCAAAGCAGAACAUUCGAGCUUCGCCAGCCCCCUCACUAAGACAAUUGAGAAGGAGACAGGCAUGCGCUCCCGCCCCCACGUAUACCUCUUCCGCCCUCACAACGAGGAGCUGAAAUCUCGUCAUCCCAAUGUGUCCAUUACCUGCCUGGUCAAAGACUUCAAGCCUGAGGACAUCUCCAUCAGAUGGCUCGAGAAUCACAACGUCAUGACUGGACACAACUUUGUUACCACCCCGGUCCAGGUGGACAUCAAUCAAGAUUCCUAUUUUGUCUACAGCAAGCUGACCGUCCCCAAGGCUGACUGGAACGAGGGCUACUCUUACACCUGCCACGUGGUCCACGAAGGUCUCGAGAUGAAGUAUACCCAGCGGACCAUUGAGAAAGUUCAGGGUAAAAAAUGAAGACCAUCAUUCCAGCAUUGUUACCUUUCCCACAGACCCCAAUCCAUUGGAUUGUCUUGAUAAUUGUCAGAUUUAACCCUGUGUAAAUAAUGUCCUUGCAUUCGUUCAUUCAUGGUUACCUGCUAAAUAAAAGAUAACUCACUCAA